rnacentral:piRNA from 1 species
UCUGGGCCUUUCCAACUCUGAGUGUG